rnacentral:lncRNA from 1 species
UCAGGUAUAUGUAGAUGUAUGACAUGUCUUUUCUGUUUUUCUUAACUGUAUAGGUCAGCAGCAUUCAUUAGGACAACAAACUCUGCAACGCCUAUAACAGAUUGCUCAAACCCAGGCCGAUCAACAAGCUCAGAUAAAUAAUUUGUUGGCUCAGUCGCCAACGACACCACAAAACGCGGCAUUGGGAAAGCAUACCGCUCCAACAAGGCUCAACAUGACAUACAACAUCCAUAGAUCUGUACAAAAUGAGGAAGCAGCAAACCCAAGAUGAGCUCCUAUGUCGUUAUCGCUUCCGGCUCCUCCAGACUAU